AUUGAACGCUGGCGGCAGGCUUAACACAUGCAAGUCGAGCGGAGAUAAGGUGCUUGCACCUUAUCUUAGCGGCGGACGGGUGAGUAAUGCUUAGGAAUCUGCCUAUUAGUGGGGGACAACAUUCCGAAAGGAAUGUUAAUACCGCAUACGUCCUACGGGAGAAAGCAGGGGAUCUUCGGACCUUGCGCUAAUAGAUGAGCCUAAGUCGGAUUAGCUAGUUGGGGGGGUAAAGGCCUACCAAGGCGACGAUCUGUAGCGGGUCUGAGAGGAUGAACCGCCACACUGGGACUGAGACACGGCCCAGACUCCUACGGGAGGCAGCAGUGGGGAAUAUUGGACAAUGGGGGGAACCCUGAUCCAGCCAUGCCGCGUGUGUGAAGAAGGCCUUAUGGUUGUAAAGCACUUUAAGCGAGGAGGAGGCUACUGAGACUAAUACUCUUGGAUAGUGGACGUUACUCGCAGAAUAAGCACCGGCUAACUCUGUGCCAGCCGCCGCCGUAAGAC
rnacentral:rRNA from 1 species